AGAGUUUGAUCCUGGCUUAGAACUAACGCUGGCAGUGCGUCUUAAGCAUGCAAGUCAAACGGGAUGUAGCAAUACAUCUAGUGGCGAACGGGUGAGUAACGCGUGGAUGAUCUACCUACGAGAUGGGGAUAACUAUUAGAAAUAGUAGCUAAUACCGAAUAAAGUCAAUUAAUUUGUUAAUUGAUGAAAGGAAGCCUUUAAAGCUUCGCUUGUAGAUGAGUCUGCGUCUUAUUAGCUAGUUGGUAGGGUAAAUGCCUACCAAGGCGAUGAUAAGUAACCGGCCUGAGAGGGUGAACGGUCACACUGGAACUGAGAUACGGUCCAGACUCCUACGGGAGGCAGCAGCUAAGAAUCUUCCGCAAUGGGCGAAAGCCUGACGGAGCGACACUGCGUGAAUGAAGAAGGUCGAAAGAUUGUAAAAUUCUUUUAUAAAUGAGGAAUAAGCUUUGUAGGAAAUGACAAAGUGAUGACGUUAAUUUAUGAAUAAGCCCCGGCUAAUUACGUGCCAGCAGCCGCGGUAAUACGUAAGGGGCGAGCGUUGUUCGGGAUUAUUGGGCGUAAAGGGUGAGUAGGCGGAUAUAUAAGUCUAUGCAUAAAAUACCACAGCUCAACUGUGGAACUAUGUUGGAAACUAUAUAUCUAGAGUCUGAUAGAGGAAGUUAGAAUUUCUGGUGUAAGGGUGGAAUCUGUUGAUAUCAGAAAGAAUACCGGAGGCGAAGGCGAACUUCUGGGUCAAGACUGACGCUGAGUCACGAAAGCGUAGGGAGCAAACAGGAUUAGAUACCCUGGUAGUCUACGCUGUAAACGAUGCACACUUGGUGUUAACUAAAAGUUAGUACCGAAGCUAACGUGUUAAGUGUGCCGCCUGGGGAGUAUGCUCGCAAGAGUGAAACUCAA
rnacentral:rRNA from 1 species